UCAGUCGGCCGGACGGUCGCUCCCGCAACCGCCGAAAGGCCGCGGGGGAGGAAAGUCCGGGCUCCAUGGACAGACGGUGCCGGAUAACGUCCGGCGGGGGCGACCCCAGGGAAAGUGCCACAGAGAACGAACCGCCGGCGCCGCGGCGCCGGUAAGGGUGAAAAGGUGCGGUAAGAGCGCACCGCGCCUCCGGCAACGGAGGCGGCAGGGUAAACCCCACCGGGAGCAAAACCGAAUAGGAACGGCAUCGCGGACAGUUCGCUUUCGGGCGAUAACUCCGCAGGGCAUGUCUGGCUCGACCGUUCGGGUAGGUUGCUUGAGGCAGCGCGCAAGCGCUGUCCCAGAGGAAUGACCGUCGCGUAUCGCGCGCAAGCGCGGUGCCCUACAAAACCCGGCUUACAGGCCGGCUGAUACU
rnacentral:RNase_P_RNA from 1 species